GAUGAACGCUGGCGGCGUGCCUAAUACAUGCAAGUCGAGCGAACAGACGAGGAGCUUGCUCCUCUGACGUUAGCGGCGGACGGGUGAGUAACACGUGGAUAACCUACCUAUAAGACUGGGAUAACUUCGGGAAACCGGAGCUAAUACCGGAUAAUAUAUUGAACCGCAUGGUUCAAUAGUGAAAGACGGUUUUGCUGUCACUUAUAGAUGGAUCCGCGCCGCAUUAGCUAGUUGGUAAGGUAACGGCCUACCAAGGCAACGAUGCGUAGCCGACCUGAGAGGGUGAUCAGCCACACUGGAACUGAGACACGGUCCAGACUCCCACGGGAGGCAGCAGUAGGGAAUCUUGCGCAAUGGGCGAAAGCCUGACGGAGCAACGCCGCGUGGGUGAAGAAGGUCUUCGGGUUGUAAAACCCUGUUAUUAGGGAAGAAAAAAUGUGGAAGUAAACAUGCCCGUCUUGACGGUACCCAAUCAAAAAGCCACGGCUAACUUCGUG
rnacentral:rRNA from 1 species